GCGGUGGUGGUGUAACGGUCCAGCAUGGUUGCUUCCCAAGCAGUUGAUCCGGGUUCGAUUCCCGGCCACCGCA